UUUAAAAAAUUGUGAUCCCUCUACUUUACCUCCGUGCAAAGCUGAAUUACAACAACAUCUUUUAAGAACGCAAUAUAUAACGAGUAUUUGGAGAAAUGCAUAUUUGCGAUUCCCCAGCAGUUUGACACCGAAUAGAAACGGAUGGACACUUCAUGAGGAUACGCUACAUUUCCACUGGUUCGACGGAGAUUGUAUGCCGCAAUCAGUAUUCGACGCUAUUGUUCAUGAAAACAAUAAACAAAAUAAUAUUGGAAAUGAUACUACAGAUAAUGCAGGGGUAUCCGAAUUAGACACAGAUGAAUCUGAAGUUGAUUCUGAUAGCUCUGAUGAAGGAGCAUCUACAGAAGAAGAAUGACAAUUUCUUUCUGAUAUGACAGGGAAUUAAUUACAUUGAUAUUUGUAUACUCAUAAUAAUUCUGCAGCUGUAUUAUUAGUAUAUAAUUUUUCUAUUUCAAUAAAUCUGAUUUUGUAAUUUUA